ensembl:lncRNA
GUAUAGUUUAUCUCCCCACUAACAAACUUAAAGUAGUCUUAAAAUAAAACCCACAAAACAGUUCAAGAUGAAAUACUUUUUAUUUGCUUAUGUAAUGCCAGUUGCCAUAUUUUUCUGUAUGUCACUCAUUCGCUUAUACAAAAAGUACCAAUUUGUACACUAGUCUAGUGUAUUUUUUCCCUCUAUCUCUCUAUGUCUCACACACACAGACCAACACACAGACAUGUAUAUGCUCAUUAUUGCUGUUCAAACUGAUGGUCAAAUUUCCAAGCACCACCUGAACACCUCAUCAGUUUUUAACCCAUCACUGGACCAACUGUUGUCAUUCCGCUUUGCUCUCUGCUGUGGAACUUGACUGACCCCUGUGCUUUGCCUGUGUGCAGAAGAAGAACAAGGACCAGAUCUCCAGUCUUCUCUCUCACAUCCCAACCCCCCAACCCCUCUAUCCUCUGUACUACUCCACCUGUUGUCUCUGCCUUCUUUCCAUCUGUAUUUCACCCUGUGGUUUGUGAGAAAUUUUGCCAAACCAAGAAUCUUAUUGCGGUUUGAUUUCAAAGCCGCGUCUCUAAUUUUAGAGUUCGAAGGAACUCUAAUUCACGGUUUAAUUGGGAUUUCCCAGCCGUGUCUUUCCUGCUCUGUCUGUUCUCUCUGCUAAAUUUUCUCUCUACCUGUUUUUCACUCCUGGCUUGCUGCUGAAUAAUGGCAAGCCAAUAAAGCAAUAAAGAGUGCAUAUUUUGCCUCAACCUAUGAACAAACUGAACAAACAAAGAAAACUCGAAUUCACGGUUUAAUUGGGAUUUCCCAGCCGUGUCUUUCCUGCUCUGUCUGUUCUCUCUGCUAAAUUUUCUCUCUACCUGUUUUUCACUCCUGGCUUGCUGCUGAAAAAUGGCAAGCCAUUAAAACAAUAAAGAGUGCAUAUAUUGCCUCUACCUGAG